UUAUCACAGACCAAAAUAAAAAGAGAGAGUGUUCUAAUGGCGACGAUAGCAAAAACAUACAUGAACAAGUCUGUGGUAUCAUCUUUUCUAAAGCUAUGAUCGAUUUGAUUUUUACUGAUGGCCGUGGCCGUGGUGGUGAGGCAGCAGCGUCGUCAAGUCACCGGAGAGAACAAGUCUCAAUCGUCGGGGAUUAGGUCACAGCCGCAGAGUCACACCGACAGUGAGCAAAGCCAUUCAUCAACCGUUCGACUAGUCACAAUCUCUCAAAAUCCUCUCUGCUUUUCUUUCUUGAUCUGUUAUUCCAAGUUAUACAACACUAUCGUCAACCCAUGCGCUGUAAGUUAUUUCUUCCACUACUUGUUCCAAUUUUUCAAUUAUAUUUAAAAUAAAACACUAAAAUAACCUAUUU